rnacentral:rRNA from 1 species
AUUGAACGCUGGCGGCAUGCCUAACACAUGCAAGUCGAACGGAGGUAGGGGCAACUCUACUUCAGUGGCGGACGGGUGAGGAAUGCGUCGGAAUCUACCCUAUGGCGGGGGAUAACACAGGGAAACUUGUGCUAAUACCGCAUGAUGUCGAGAGACCAAAGCAGGGGACCGCAAGGCCUUGCGCGAUAGGAUGAGCCGACGCCCGAUUAGCUAGUUGGUAGGGUAAAGGCCUACCAAGGCGACGAUCGGUAGCUGGUCUGAGAGGAUGAUCAGCCACACUGGGACUGAGACACGGCCCAGACUCCUACGGGAGGCAGCAGUGGGGAAUAUUGGACAAUGGGCGCAAGCCUGAUCCAGCAAUGCCGCGUGUGUGAAGAAGGCCUGCGGGUUGUAAAGCACUUUUGUUCGGGAAGAAAACGGAUCGGUUAAUACCCGGUUCGGAUGACGGUACCGAAAGAAUAAGCACCGGCUAACUUCGUGCCAGCAGCCGCGGU